rnacentral:rRNA from 1 species
UACGAGAGGUCCAAACGUUAUUCGGAAUUACUGGGCUUAAAGGGCGCGUAGGUGGUUUGCCAAGUCGGGGUUGAAAUCUUUCGGCUUAACCGGAAAAGUGGCUUCGAUACUGGCAAGCUGGAGGGAGGUAGGGGCGGAUGGAACUUCCGGUGGAGCGGUGAAAUGUGUUGAUAUCGGAAGGAACGCCGGUGGCGAAAGCGAUCCGCUGGACCUCUUCUGACACUGAGGCGCGAAAGCCAGGGGAGCAAACGGG